GAAAUAGAUCCUGAAACCGCAUGCAUACAAGCAGUGGGAGCACCUUCGUGGUGUGACUGCGUACCUUUUGUAUAAUGGGUCAGCGACUUAUAUUCAGUAGCAAGGUUAACCGUAUAGGGGAGCCGUAGAGAAAUCGAGUCUUAAUAGGGCGUUUAGUUGCUGGGUAUAGACCCGAAACCAGGCGAUCUAUCCAUGAGCAGGUUGAAGGUUGGGUAACACUAACUGGAGGACCGAACCCACUGUCGUUGAAAAGCCAGGGGAUGACUUGUGGAUAGGGGUGAAAGGCUAAUCAAGCCUGGUGAUAGCUGGUUCUCCCCGAAAGCUAUUUAGGUAGCGCCUCGGACGAAUACCAUAGGGGGUAGAGCACUGUUUCGGCUAGGGGGUCAUCCCGACUUACCAAACCGAUGCAAACUCCGAAUACCUAUGAGUACUAUCCGGGAGACAGACUGCGGGUGCUAACGUCCGUAGUCAAGAGGAAAACAAUCCAGACCGCCAGCUAAGGCCCCAAAAUCAUAGUUAAGUGGGAAACGAUGUGGGAAGGCAUAGACAGCUAGGAGGUUGGCUUAGAAGCAGCCACCCUUUAAAGAAAGCGUAAUAGCUCACUAGUCGAGUCGGCCUGCGCGGAAGAUGUAACGGGGCUAAAACUAUGUGCCGAAGCUGCGGAUGUAUACUUGU
rnacentral:rRNA from 1 species